rnacentral:rRNA from 11 species
AAAUGCUGCUUAAAUACUCUAAAAGUACUAGAUCCUGCCUGAUCUUGGAGGCCAAUCAGGGUCAGCCCUGUUUAGUACUUGGAUGGGAUACCACCAACCAAUACCAGGUGCUGUGGGUU